rnacentral:rRNA from 1 species
AAUCAACGCUGGCGGCGUGCCUAACACAUGCAAGUCGAGCGGGAAAGGGGGCUUCGGCCCCUGAGUAUAGCGGCGGACGGGUGAGUAACACGUGGGUAAUUUGCCCUUGGGUGUGGAAUAACUCAGGGAAACUUGAGCUAAUACCGCAUGACAUCCCCUUCACACACGAGUCGGGGAUCAAAGCCGGGGACCCUUCGGGGCCUGGCGCCUGAGGAGAAGCCCGCGCCCGAUUAGCUAGUUGGNGAGGUAAUGGCUCACCAAGGCUUCGAUCGGUAGCCGGCCUGAGAGGGCGGACGGCCACACUGGGACUGAGACACGGCCCAGACUCCUACGGGAGGCAGCAGGUGGGGUAAUUUUGUCAAUAGGGGGAAACCCUGAACAAGCAACGCCGCGUGGAGGACGACGACCU